rnacentral:lncRNA from 1 species
AAGAACUUAACUAUAAGAUAGAACAUUUCAAUAUUGAAGGAAGCUGUUAUACAACAUUGGUGAAUAGUAGUUGUCCACCUAUUUGCAUGAUGAGUGAAACACUUUGAUUUGUACUUUAUGUAUAAAGCUCACAGUCAAACUUAAUAAAGAGAUGUUUUUGAAAAAAAAACCUGUGAAACUGCCAUUUUCUGCAUUAUGCAGUAGAUAAUCUUCAUUAAAAAUGUAGUGUUUUAAGGAAGUGACAAAAUGGAGAAUCAAUUUGCUAUGAAUUAUGUUCUGUUUCCUUGUUUGUAAAUGUGGGUAGAAUGAUACUUAAAAGUUUAUUUUUGUUUUUAAAGUUUGGAUACCCUUGAACUUGAACUCUUUGUCAGAUGCUAAGAGACUUGAUAGUUGUUUCUUUGAGUGGAAAUACCAAUACCUUUAGUUCCUUUAGUCGUCCUUCCUUAAAAUAUUCCUAUAUAGCUUGGAGACCUAGAGGUUGACCAGGACAGAAAAAACUGGUGGCAAUUCAGACCUGAGUAAUCCCAGCAGCUGUGUUGGGAAAGGAUUGGCAGUUUGAAAUGACCAGGAGUGGCCAGGAGAGUAGGAAUUGGGGCACAAUCCUUUUAUUUUUUUGUUCAACUUUUGAAGGAAUUUCAUGGAAGUUAUGCCCCAUAAAUUUGUUUCAGAUUAUGAAUGCAAGC